UACGUAGGGUGCAAGCGUUAAUCGGAAUACUGGGCGUAAAGCGUGCGCAGGCGGUGAUGUAAGACAGAUGUGAAAUCCCCGGGCUCAACCUGGGAACUGCAUUUGUGACUGCAUCGCUGGAGUGCGGCAGAGGGGGAUGGAAUUCCGCGUGUAGCAGUGAAAUGCGUAGAUAUGCGGAGGAACACCGAUGGCGAAGGCAAUCCCCUGGGCCUGCACUGGACGCUCAUGCACGAAAGCGUGGGG
rnacentral:rRNA from 1 species